CAAUAGCGUAUAUUUAAGUUGCUGCUGUUAAAAAGCUCGUAGUUGGAUUUCGGGUGGGAAUGGCCGGUCCGCCGUUUCGGUGUGCACUUGCUACGCCCACCUUGCUGCCGGGGACGUGCUCUUGAGUUCACGCUCGGGACACGGAGUCGGCGAGGUUACUUUGAGUAAAUUAGAGUGUUCAAAGCAGGCCUACGCUCUGAAUACAUUAGCAUGGAAUAACACGAUAGGACUCUGGCCUAUCUUGUUGGUCUGUAGGACCGGAGUAAUGAUUAAGAGGGACAGUCGGGGGCAUUCGUAUUUCAUUGUCAGAGGUGAAAUUCUUGGAUUUAUGAAAGACGAACUACUGCGAAAGCAUUUGCCAAGGAUGUUUUCAUUAA
rnacentral:rRNA from 1 species